UGAGGAUCUGCCAAACUGUUUACUCAGGUGGCUGUACAAUAUUAUAAUCCCAUCAGCAAUAAAGUUUUGAAACUGGGGGGUUAAUCUGAUUAGAUCCACAAAACAGCCUGCCCUGCAAUUUGGUCAUUUGCAUUUUGUUUUUUUCUAUGUAGCUGAAGACCACAGCAUUUAACCUUUGCUGGCUUCCUGUAUAAUCUAUAGAUAACAUAUGUCACCAUGGUAACGGUCACUUAAGUUGGUUUUCAGGAACUUGGGGCAGCUCCUCUCCUGUUCAAACUGGUUGUGACCACUGACCCUUCAACCAGGCCUGAGCAAAUGCCCAAGAGGUAGCCUUUUGACAUCACAGGCUAAACACUCCACCCUCAAAUGAUGCUAAUGUCACCAUUUUCUGAACAGUCAUCCUAUGAAGUGCCAUGAAUCCUGACUACACUUGCGCAGAUCAGUGGAUGAUUCAUUUUCCCCCACUGCCAAUCACCUUUCCCCAUGCCUUAGACCACCCUGCUUCUCUAACCCAUAAACAUCUCUAUGCCUUAUUUUCGGGAGGCAGAUAUGAGAGCUAUUUACCUGCCCCCUUGCUGGGCUGCCUUGUGGAUAAAUCUUUUCUCUUUUGCAAAAUGUGCCAUCACAGUGAUUGGUUUACCCAGCACGGGCAGAACAAACCUGGUUGAUAAUUUUUCUCAUCCUCGCCAACACUUACUGUCAUUGUCUGUGUUUUUCACUAUAGCCAUGCUGGUGGAUAUGAAGUGGCAUCUGAUUGUGGUUUUCAUUUCAUUUCCCUUGUGACUAAUGAGCCUAUUUUUUGUGCUUAUUGAUUAUUUGCAUAUCUUCUUUAAAAAAUAUGUGUUCGAAUACUUUGCCCAUUUUUAAUUUGGGUAAUUUGUAUUUCUGUUGAGUUGUAAAAGUUGUUUAUAUAUUUUGGAUAGUAGACUCUUACCUGAUACACAAUUCACAAAAUACUUUCUCCCAUUUCAUAGGUUGGCUUUUGUUUUCUUGAUGGUGUCUUUUGAUGU
rnacentral:lncRNA from 1 species